rnacentral:misc_RNA from 1 species
UACGUAGGGUGCAAGCAUUAGUCGGAAUUAUUGGGCGUAAAGGGUGCGUAGGCGGGAAGGUAAGUCAGUUGUUAAAUCCCAGAGCUCAACUCUGGAACCGCAACUGAAACUGCUUUUCUUGAGGGUAGGCGGAGAAAGCGGAAUUCCACAUGUAGCGGUGAAAUGCGUAGAUAUGUGGAAGAACACCUGUGGCGAAAGCGGCUUUCUAGCAGACACCUGACGCUGAGGCACGAAAGCAAGGGGAGCAAACAGG